rnacentral:rRNA from 1 species
UACGAAGGGGGCUAGCGUUGCUCGGAAUUACUGGGCGUAAAGCGUGCGUAGGUGGUUCGUUAAGUCUGAUGUGAAAGCCCUGGGCUCAACCUGGGAAUGGCAUUGGAUACUGGCGACCUAGAGUGCGGUAGAGGGGUGUGGAAUUCCCGGUGUAGCAGUGAAAUGCGUAGAUAUCGGGAGGAACACCAGUGGCGAAGGCGACUACCUGGCCUGUUCUUGACGCUGAGGCGCGAAAGCUAGGGGAGCAAACGGG